rnacentral:ncRNA from 1 species
AAUUAGAUCUGUAUACUUUUUUAUUCCAUAAAGAAAACUUGAUUCUAGUUUAAUAAUUUAAAUGUUAAUAAAUUAUAUCAUACAAAAUAUAUAAGUAAUUAGAAAUUUAUAAUAAGUAGUGUUAAAUUUUAGUAACUUAUAUAAUAUAGAUUUAGUUAUAUAAAAUAUUCUAGAAUAAUUUUGUGCCAGCAUUUGCGGUUAUACUAAAUAGGUGAUUUAAAUAAUUUGGUUAAAUGUAUUUAAUUAAAUUAAUAAAAUUUAUUUUAUCAAAAUAAAAGUGAAAUUUAUAUUUUAAAAUUAUAAAAUAUAAUUAUACAAAAAUUUAAGUUUAAACUAGGAUUAGAUACCCUAUUAUAAUAAAUUGUAAAAAUUAAACCAAGGGAUUAAAAGAAAUAAGGUCUUUAAACUUAAAGAAUUUGGCAGUAAAUUAAAAUAUUAGAGGAAUUUGUAAAAUAAUAGAAUUUACUCUUUUUACCUUACUAAAAUUUUUAUUUGUAUACCGUUGAUUAGAGUAAAUUAAUAGAUUAUGUUUUGCCAGUAAGUUUUAACUAAAAAUUAGAUUAAGGUACAGUUUAUAUUUUAGGAAAUUAUGAAUUACAAUUAAAUUAUUAUAUGAAUAAAGAAAUGUAAAAUCUUUUGAAAUUGAAUUUAAAAGUAUUUUUUAAAUUAAAAUGUGAGAAAGAAUAAUAUUAAUUUAUGUACAUAUUGCCCGUCGCUCUCGUUAAAAAAUGAGAUAAGUCGUAACAUAGUAGGGGUACCGGAAGGUGCCCCUAGAAUAAA